rnacentral:lncRNA from 1 species
CUCCAUAUGCCUUUUGGCUAGCUUUUACGGUUUGCUACUUUCUAGCUCUUAGCUUUACUACCUCUACCGAGAAGCUCUCUCUCGCUUCAGGUUUGCCUAAUCGAAUGAUUCUUUUUCCUCCGCAAACCAACCACUUUUUAUUCCUCACCUGCACCAGGAACUUCUUUCUAUUAAGGAGAUAUCGAUCGAAUAGCCUAAG